CCAGAGAAUUUAGCAGAGAUGCUUUAGUGCCUUCGGGAACUCUGAGACAGGUGCUGCAUGGCUGUCGUCAGCUCGUGUUGUGAAAUGUUGGGUUAAGUCCCGCAACGAGCGCAACCCUUAUCCUUUGUUGCCAGCACGUAAUGGUGGGAACUCAAAGGAGACUGCCGGUGAUAAACCGGAGGAAGGUGGGGAUGACGUCAAGUCAUCAUGGCCCUUACGAGUAGGGCUACACACGUGCUACAAUGGCGCAUACAAAGAGAAGCGACCUCGCGAGAGCAAGCGGACCUCAUAAAGUGCGUCGCAGUCCGGAUUGGAGUCUGCAACUCGACUCCAUGAAGUCGGAAUCGCUAGUAAUCGUAAAUCAGAAUGUUACGGUGAAUACGUUCCCGGGCCUUGUACACACCGCCCGUCACACCAUGGGAGUGGGUUGCAAAAGAAGUAGAUAGCUUAACCUUCGGGAGGGCGUUUACCACUUUGUGAUUCAUGACUGGGGUGAAGUCGUAACAAGGUAAGCGUAGUGCU
rnacentral:rRNA from 1 species